rnacentral:rRNA from 1 species
AUUGCCCAGGGUGUCGGGUACCUUCACGACAGAUCAGGCGAGAAUGUAGUUCACAGGGACCUCAAGCCGUCCAACGUGCUGCUGGACCACCAAUGGAUGCCUAAGAUAGCAGAUUUUGGCACCGCGAAGCUGUUCCGUGACGAUCAGACCGGAACACAAACAGUAGUGGUUACGCCCGCUCGCCACGCCGGAUACGCCGCGCCGGAGUACGCCAAGGACGGGGACAUGACACUCAAGUGUGACGUGUUCAGCUUCGGCGUCGUACUGCUUGAGAUAAUCAGUGGCCGCAAAAACAGUGUUGUACCGAGCCUCAUUUUGCAGGUCUGGAAACUGUGGGAUGAGCACAGGGUCAUGGAUCUUCUGGACGCGGCGGUGGCGCCAGCGCGGCAUCGCUCGGCUCCCGAGCUCUUGUCUGAGCUGCGCAGGUGCAUCCAGAUUGGCCUUCUCUGCGUGCAGCAAUCUCCAGGUGAUAGGCCUGCCAUGUCCGCAGUUCUCUCCAUGCUAACAAGGACUCAGUCCUCGAGCAGCCCAAGAGUUGGCAUUCCGCGGAAGAGGCGAACGGCGCCAUGUUACUAG